rnacentral:RNase_P_RNA from 1 species
CCGGGGGGCCGGGCAGUCGCGUCGCUCCCGCGAAAGCGGGGUGCGCCGAGGAAAGUCCGGGCUCCACGAAACGAGGGUGGCGGGUAACGCCCGCCGGGUAAGGGUUUCGGCCCGAGCCUAGGGAAAGUGCCACAGAGAGUAUACCGCCGAUGGAGCCUAAAGCUCACAGGCAAGGGUGAAAGGGUGCGGCAAGAGCGCACCGGGGGUCUGGCAACAGGCUCCGCAUGGCAAACCCCACCCGGAGCAAGACCGAAUAGGGGCGGCGCGCUCUUCGGAGCAGGCGGGUUUCGCGCCGGAUCGCCCGGGUUGGUCGCUGGAGCGGCAUGGCAACAUGUCGCCGAGAGGAAUGGCUGCCAUCGUGUGCCGCGUCUUCGGAUACGGGCCGCGAUACAGAACCCGGCUUACGGGCCCCCCGGCACC